rnacentral:misc_RNA from 1 species
ACUACAGAGCAGCAUGCAAUCAUCAUCUGGCGAAGAGUCCCACUUCGUUUCUUUCUUCUGAGGAGGCACCCGUGUGUGCGGCUGGACUUUCAUCCGAGAACGGACAAGGUCGAAGAUGCCGGCAGCGGUAAACGCUUGCUUGAGCGCUGCGGUACCCUGGCGAGGUGAUGGCGUGGCCGUUCCGACACCCGCGGCGCAGUCAGGAGAGAUGCACGACCUGACUCUUGAGGAACUGAAAAGCUCCCUCUCCGACCUUGGCUACAAUCCCUAUGGGGACUUAGUGUACACGAGAAGCCACCUUGCCUCAAAGCAUCUCCGUGCGCUGCCGGGGCUGCAGCGGUACGUUCACCUGCAAAGGCUCUGCGUCGAUGACAACGGGCUCACGGAGCUCGAUGCGGUGCGCUACAUGCCACAGCUCGUGCAUCUUCACGCACGUCACAACCGCCUCACCUCGGACGUAUUUGUAUCCCUUGCCGCGGCGGCCGCCGGAUGCCUGGAGCAGCUACACCUGGACGACAACUGCAUCACAUCACUGGACGGGUUGGAAACGCUUCCCUUCCUGCUCGACUUUACGUGCUGCCGUAACCGGGUACAGCAUCUCCCUGCGCGCUGCCUCGCCGCUGCUGAGCGACUCAGGCACUUUUCCUUGAGCGACAAUGCACUCAAAACGGUCGAUAUCAAUGCCUUCGCGGCGACGCGACCGCUGCGGGUGUUGGACCUGAGUAACAACUUGCUGUCGAGCAUAGAUUUCCUCUACUCUGUCGCACCGCAGAUCGAAAAGGUGAACAUCGCCAACAAUCACGUGCGCCACUUGAGCGCCGCCCUGAAGCAGUUGCCCUGCUUAACAGUGCUCGACGUUGGAGGGAACGAGCUGUCGGGGCUGAAGGAGCUGAGGGUCCUGCGCUGCCUCGAGGCUUUGCGCACCCUGACGUUUGCGGGCAACAAGGCUCUGGAGCAGCUGUCACAUCACGCAGCGGGAGAGGGCGGGCGACUGGGUGACCCACUGGCGACGACGGUGCAGGGAACCGAGUACGAUGCAGAGGUGGUCAUGAGUGAUGGGGAGGACAACGGAGGGUCACUCUGCUAUGGCGGCGGCAGUGGCGGGUUCAAUGCCGCAACUCGUACCACCGCAGCAACCACUGGCGUUGCGUCUGCGGAAGUGGUCGCGACAGAAGGCGACGGCGCUCCCGACACGAGCAGCACCCUGUGCUCCAGUGCUUCCGCCAUCAGCAAGGGGACCAGAAACGCGGACGAUGCAGCAGGUGACCGCAGAGCCGGCACAAAAACGAUUACGGGGUGGAAGUCCUCGCACUCAUCGCCGGCGCGGGUAACAACACCGACUACCGCCGCCUACGUGGACCUUGCUGCCUCCGAGACGAAUGCCUUCGUUCAUUCAGUUGGCAGUGCGAGGCGUGACGCCGUGCUCGAUGUGCGCGUGCACCACCAAAAGGAGGUUCUGGCGCUCCCGCAGCAGGAGCAGGUGUAUCUGUGGACACUGUCAGUGCUGCCCCAGCUGACGGAGAUGAACGGCCGCCUUACACGCCCGGAGGAGGUGGCGAAGGCAGUUUUUCUUUUUCGCGCCGACACUACGAAGCAGGAGCCUGAAAAAGGAGUGUUCACGGAAUGACGGCAGAUCUUCUUCCGCAGGUGAGGCAUAGCACGUGCCUUGUGUGGUUGCAAGAUUUGGUGAGGUCACAGCGUUUUCGCAUCGUUCUGCCGGGAAGAGUGAAGGCACUUGUACUUAGCUCACGGCGUGUUGUCUUGCCGGUUCGAUAACGGCACCAACAACAGCAGACGUCGUCGGCGUCUCGACCUCCACCUGUUCGCCUGUACUCCUUUCCACCUUGCUAUGCUGGUCGCUCAUGUCUGUCCAGCCGCGCGCCUGCGCACGACGCGCAAACUUGUACAAAUACGCAUGUAUCCUAGACGAUUUCCUUGCUGCAUUCCUUGUGCUCCUGCCGCAGGCACACGAGAAAGAGGGAAAAAAGAGGGCCGUGCCGGUGGAGUCUCUCUGUCUCCUACUCUUCCUCGUCUCGUGUCCAGAAGAACACUUACUCAG